UAUAUAUAUAUAUAUAUAUAUACAUAAUAUAUAUAUUGAUUAAAAAUGCGUGAAUAGAACAUCGAUUGUAGAGAAACUCGCAAAUGCGUGGAAGCCGGCAAAUACCGAGAAAGACGAUCGUUGUCAAAGAGAAUUCGAUUAACUCGGCUGCGACUGGAAUAAGAAAAGGAAAAAAGAAAAAAGAAAAAAAAAAAAAAAAAAGAAAGAAACCCGACAUCGAUACGGGACGAGUUAACAGGUUGCCGUAUAUCAUUCUGUUUUCCUAACGAAUCAUACUUUCCAUGAUUUAUGGAUGAAGGAAACGUUCUGUAUCACGCAAAGUCAAACGAGCGCGUUAAAUAAUUCAACAACGUUCCAUGUAUGCUACAUUCUUAACGAGUGUAUGAAGAAACAUAAUGGUGCUCGAUAGAAAUGAGCAAAUAUAUAUAUAUAUAUAUGUAUCUGCUCUUCUGGUAAAACAUCGUUUCGUCGAAACGAUUCG